rnacentral:rRNA from 1 species
CUACGGGGGGCUGCAGUGAGGAAUUUUGCGCAAUGGGGGGAACCCUGACGCAGCAACGCCGUGUGAGUGAAGAAGGCCUUUGGGUCGUAAAGCUCUGUCAACUGGGAAGAAGUUACUGUGCUUUAAUAGAGUGCAGUAUUGACGGUACCAGUGGAGGAAGCGUCGGGUAACUCCGUGCCAGCAGCCGCGGUAACACGGGGGACGCAAGCGUUAUUCGGAAUUAUUGGGCGUAAAGGGCGCGUAGGCGGUCUUGUCGGUCAGGUGUGAAAGCCCGGGGCUCAACCCCGGACGUGCACUUGAAACAGCAAGACUUGAGUACGGGAGAGGAAAGCGGAAUUCCUGGUGUAGAGGUGAAAUUCGUAGAUAUCAGGAGGAACACCGAUGGCGAAGGCAGCUUUCUGGACCGAAACUGACGCUGAGGCGCGAAGGCGUGGGUAGCGAACGGGAUUAGAUACCCGCGUAGUC